rnacentral:rRNA from 1 species
UACGUAGGGGGCAAGCGUUGUCCGGAUUUAUUGGGCGUAAAGAGCGUGUAGGCGGCCAGACAGGUCAGCUGUGAAAACUCGAGGCUCAACCUCGAGACGUCGGUUGAAACCGUCUGGCUAGAGUCCGGAAGAGGAGAGUGGAAUUCCCGGUGUAGCGGUGAAAUGCGCAGAUAUCGGGAAGAACACCCGUGGCGAAGGCGGCGCUCUGGGACGGUACUGACGCUGAGACGCGAAAGCGUGGGGAGCGAACAGG